rnacentral:rRNA from 1 species
UUUAAGCAUAUUACUUAGGA